rnacentral:rRNA from 1 species
GAUGAACGCUAGCGGCGGGCCUAAUACAUGCAAGUCGAACGGAACUACUGAUUUCGGUUGGUAGUUUAGUGGCGCACGGGUGAGUAACGCGUACACAACGUACCUAUUACCGGGGAAUAGCCUUUUGGAAACGAGGAGUAAUACCCCAUAGUAUGUUUGGAAGGCAUCUUCUGAAUAUUAAAGUUACGGCGGUAAUAGAUCGGUGUGCGUAAGAUUAGCUAGUUGGUGAGGUAACGGCUCACCAAGGCGACGAUCUUUAGGGGCGUGAGAGCGUGAUCCCCCACACGGGUACUGAGACACGGACCCGACUCCUACGGGAGGCAGCAGUAAGGAAUAUUGGUCAAUGGAGGC